AACGCACGAGACCUGCGGACCUGCGGAAGGAUCAUUACCGAGUGAGGGCCCUCUGGGUCCAACCUCCCACCCGUGUUUAUUUUACCUUGUUGCUUCGGUGGGCCCGCCGUCAGGCCGCCGGGGGUUCGUCCCCAGGCCCGCGCCCACCGAAGACACACCGAACUCUGUCUGAAUGUUGCAGUCUGAGUAUUAUAACUAAAUUAGUUAAAACUUUCAGCAACGGAUCUCUAGAUCGGAAGA
rnacentral:misc_RNA from 1 species